rnacentral:lncRNA from 1 species
ACCAAUUCAAUUUUUGAAUUUAUGUUUAGUUCCUAAACAACUUUCCUUUUUCCAGAUCACCGUGUCCUUGAAAAGUUAAUUUUGUUUUUAUCUCUGGAUCCAAGAGGCUUCUCAUGACAGUGGAAGUUGAAAGCUUCCCAGGCAAUGGAAUUAAGUAUGGGGGAGAUUGACAGAGAGAAUGGGAAAGGUGUUUGGGAACUGGACGAUUCCUUGUGAGCCCAAAGCACAGCACGUAGGCUGAGAAUCCCAGGAGUUUGUCUGCCCUGUGACCUGGUCAUUGGCUGGACAUCGGAUGAUGUAGUUUUUGAUUAAAGGAAUCAGAACACAAAUACACCCGUCCCCAGCGUUACAUUGUCAUCCUGCAAGAGCAUUCAGUGAAGUUGUGAGGCUGCUCCAUGGGCAACAGUUGACCUGGAAACCGGGACUCAGACAGCACGAUCUGGUGAAUUGAGAU